rnacentral:rRNA from 1 species
AUUGAACGCUGGCGGCAUGCUUUACACAUGCAAGUCGAACGGCAGCGCGGGCUUCGGCCUGGCGGCGAGUGGCGAACGGGUGAGUAAUGCAUCGGAACGUGCCCAGUAGUGGGGGAUAGCCCGGCGAAAGCCGGAUUAAUACCGCAUACGACCUGAGGGUGAAAGCGGGGGACCGAAAGGCCUCGCGCUAUUGGAGCGGCCGAUGUCGGAUUAGCUAGUUGGUGGGGUAAAGGCUUACCAAGGCGACGAUCCGUAGCUGGUCUGAGAGGACGACCAGCCACACUGGGACUGAGACACGGCCCAGACUCCUACGGGAGGCAGCAGUGGGGAAUUUUGGACAAUGGGGGCAACCCUGAUCCAGCCAUGCCGCGUGCGGGAAGGGGGCCUUCGGGUUGUAAACCGCUUUUGUUCGGGAAGAAAUCCUCUGGGCUAAUACCCCGGGGGGAUGACGGUACCGGAAGAAUAAGCACCGGCUAACUACGUG